rnacentral:rRNA from 1 species
AGAAUCAACGCUGGCGGCGUGCCUAACACAUGCAAGUCGAACGAGAAAGUGGGAGCAAUCCCACGAGUAAAGUGGCGCACGGGUGAGUAACACGUGACUAACCUACCCUUGAGUGGGGGAUAACCUAGGGAAACCUGGGCUAAUACCGCAUAAUACCUACGGGUCAAAGGAGCAAUUCGCUUUAGGAGGGGGUCGCGGCAGAUUAGUUAGUUGGCGGGGUAAUGGCCCACCAAGACAGUGAUCUGUAUCCGGCCUGAGAGGGCGCACGGACACACUGGAACUGAAACACGGUCCAGACUCCUACGGGAGGCAGCAGUGGGGAAUUUGCGCAAUGGGGGAAACCCUGACGCAGCAACGCCGCGUGGAGGAUGAAGCCCCUUGGGGCGUAAACUCCUUUCGAUCGGGAAGAUAAUGACGGUACCGGAAGAACGAAGCCCCGGCUAACGUUCGUGCCAGCAGCCGC